GGCAGAUUGGAAUGAGAAGGACCAGCCAACGCUCCAUGGCACAGCUGACCUUGAAGAGGAAGAAGAGGCAAAAGGUCUGGGAGUGGAAAUAGGUGUCACCAUAAAUCCCCUAAACCUCGUCAACCUUCUGGGGAAGCCUUGAUGGGAUUUCAGACCACAUCUUCAGGUUGUCUUGGUGGGGUAAAAAGAAACCUGAGCCAGAAACUCUGGAAAGGCGCUGUCUGGUGUUCGAUCCAUUGUGCGAGUUACCUGCCUAGGUGCCAUUGAAGCCACCUAAUAUGGAAACUGAG
rnacentral:lncRNA from 1 species